UACGGAGGAUGCAAGCGUUAUCCGGAUUUAUUGGGUUUAAAGGGUGCGCAGGUUGUUUGAUAAGUCAGUGGUGAAAGUCUGUCGCUUAACGGUAGGAUUGCCAUUGAUACUGUUGGACUUGAAUAUGGAUGAGGUAGGCGGAAUGUGUAGUGUAGCGGUGAAAUGCAUAGAUAUUACACAGAACACCGAUUGCGAAGGCAGCUUACUAAACCACUACUGACGCUCAUGCACGAAGGCGCGGGGAUCAAACAGGA
rnacentral:rRNA from 1 species